UAGUAAAUGUUUUGGCUAGCUUGCUGUG
rnacentral:sRNA from 1 species